UCGGAAGAGAGAGGUGGAGACACACUGGAACCAGCAGAACAUGGACUCCUUAUGGUGUUUUGACUUCUGAAGUGCAAGCGAACGGAAAGGCUUUGGACCUAACAUAGAAGAUGAAGGAGAUGAGGCAAUAGUGGUGCAUGCUUCCAACUCAACAUUUGAAGUGCGAACUCAUGCAAAGGACAGAAAUAUGCCCUCUGAUGCCUGGGCAAGACAAAUGCUUCUUGUCUUGGUACUUUGAUGUGAACUAUCUAAAAUAUAUCCAGGAAUGAAGAAACCAUCUGGGAAUGGAGAGCUAAAGGACUGGGCUGGAUUAAAGCAGCAAAUGAGGAACACCAGUUACACUGAAAGCAAUAACAACAACAACAACAAUAAUAAUGGCUUUCUGAAAUGACAGUAACCUUCUCAGGAUCUCUCAAAAUUCUAGAACAAACUUCCCUCCCAUCCCCUGAUGAAAUUAUGCUUGAAAGAAGCGUUCUGUUGUAGUCAAUAGAAUAAAAUCCAGUGUGUGCUAGAUUGCUGUGUGCAUCUGUGUGGUGCCCCAUGAUAGUUUCUCUGGUUUACAGAUGUGCCCAUGGGCCCCAAAAGGUUUGCUACCCCUGCAUUAGCAGCAGCCAGUGAUAUGGAGAAAGGAGUGGGGAAAUGCAGAGUUUAGUGCUAUUUUUGGCACCAGCCCCAUGUGUCUUAUAAUGUGUUGCUCUGCCAUGGCUCAUAGUAAAGCCACAUUCAUACCAUACAUUUAAAG